UAGGGAAUCUUCGGCAAUGGACGAAGGUCUGACCGAGCAACGCCGCGUGAGUGAAGAAGGUUUUCGGAUCGUAAAACUCUGUUGGUAGAGAAGAACGUUGGUGAGAGUGGAAAGCUCAUCAAGUGACGGUAACUACCCAGAAAGGGACGGCUAACUACGUGCCAC
rnacentral:rRNA from 1 species